UGAUGCGAUCAUACCAGCACUAAAGCACCGGAUCCCAUUAGAACUCCGAAGUUAAGCGUGCUUGGGCGAGAGUAGUACUAGGAUGGGUGACCUCCUCGGAAGUCCUCGUGUUGCAUUCC
rnacentral:rRNA from 2 species